ensembl:lncRNA
GGGGGGGGGGGGGGGAUUUUUUUUCUUUUUCUAAAUCACUUAUCCCAUGUGAAUCGAUCAUAAUGAAUACAGACAUCUGGAAAACUAAUCCCAUCCAAAUACUACGCUUGCAUUGUUAAGUGUUCGUUAAUGUCAUCUUUUCAUUCUCACUUAUGCUUUUGAUUCUAAAUCCAGACCUGACACUUUUAUUUCUUAAAACAUCCUUUAGGACAUAGUUUGGAAAUGUUUACUCUGCGGUCAUCACAUCUGGAAUCGGACAUCCUCGUUGGCGCCCGAUACCUGAUGCACUUCAAAGCAUUUGACCCCAAAUGACCGAAGUUCAAAUGGAACUACAAGGGUUGUGGUGGAUUCGGUAAUACAAGGCGGGAGAAUUCAACCAGAUGUGAUGACAGUCCAUCUCAGGGCCUCAUGCACACACACGCCAACAUGAGGAGAACGUCCUGUAAAGCUGCUUUGGGACAAUGUCCAUUGUUAAGCGCGCUAUACAAAUAAAACUGAAUUGAACUAAAGCUCAUGUCAGGAUCAAACCAGAGUCUGGAGCUGUGUCAUAUGAGCUUAUAUGAUGGAGAAAAGAGAUUUCUAGCAGUCUUGCGGUUGGUGCACUGCUAAUGUUAUACCACUAGAUGGCAGUACAUCUGAGCUGAUCUUCUCAAAACAUCAAUAGAUGAGUAUAUUGGGGUGUGAGGAAUGUGAUAUUAUGUGAGGAAAAAUAAAAUACAUUUUUUAAAUUAUUGUUUCAUUUAUUCAAAGAAAAUGUUCUGCAGCACCUAUAUUACGAGUGUGAAAAACUAAUUACCUCCUAACCUUAAUAACUGGUUGUGCCAUCUUUAGCAGCAACAACUGCAAACAAACGCUUUUGCUAUGACUGUGGAGGAAUUUUGGCCCAGUCUGCUUUGAAGAAUUCCUUUAAUCCAGACACACUGGGGGGCUUUUGAGCAUGAACUGCACAUUUAAGCUUCCAGCACAGCAUCUAAAUGGAGUGCAAGUCAGGACGUUACCUAGCCAACUCCACAACCUUCAUUUUGUC